GACGAACGCUGGCGGCGUGCUUAACACAUGCAAGUCGAACGGAAAGGCCCUGCUUUUGUGGGGUGCUCGAGUGGCGAACGGGUGAGUAACACGUGAGUAACCUGCCCUUGACUUUGGGAUAACUUCAGGAAACUGGGGCUAAUACCGGAUAGGAGCUCCUGCUGCAUGGUGGGGGUUGGAAAGUUUCGGCGGUUGGGGAUGGACUCGCGGCUUAUCAGCUUGUUGGUGGGGUAGUGGCUUACCAAGGCUUUGACGGGUAGCCGGCCUGAGAGGGUGACCGGCCGCAUUGGGACUGAGAUACGGCCCAGACUCCUACGGGAGGCAGCAGUGGGGAAUAUUGCACAAUGGGCGGAAGUCUGAUGCAGCAACGCCGCGUGCGGGAUGACGGCCUUCGGGUUGUAAACCGCUUUCGCCUGUGACGAAGCGUGAGUGACGGUAAUGGGUAAAGAAGCACCGGCUAACUACGUG
rnacentral:rRNA from 1 species